ACAUAUCUGUUUACCAUACUUACAAUGACUUCAAAUCAUGGCAACUAUGGACAAAGAAAAUUAUAUAUUAUUGGCAAUCAUUUGUUGACGUGAUUUUGUUUCUUAUCUACAUUGUAACGUAACCAUAUGUUUAUUAUUGAUAUUCGAUUUCGAAUAACGAAAUAAAUAAAUAAAUAAAUAAACGUACACGCAAAGUAUUUUUUUUUCUUUGAUAUAUUUGAAUCAACGUGUUCAUUAUGAUAAUCGAUAGAAGUUUUUUAAAUGUGAUAAUAUUGAGUUGUGGCUUUAUGCUGGUAUUUACAGCAUUUCAAACAAUGGGAAAUAUUGAGCUCUGAUUCAUAUUCGAAUAUUCGAGUUCCAGCCAGCCUGAAUUAAAUUGGAGAAGAAAAGGCCGGCGCUUUCCGUUUCGCGGUUUCAUUGUUCUCUAUAAUGGAGUUAUAUAAAGAUCACAGUUCCUAUUUCUUUUUCUAUUAAUAUAGCUUUGAUCAUGAUUGAUAAAAAAAAUUUCAAUCUAGUUCACUUAUAAAUUCACUUAUAUUACGGCGUACUUUGUUUUGUUUAUUGGAUGAAUUCUCAAGAGAAUGCUAUAUCAUAUUCCGUGAAACACCACAAUGGCUUUUCUAAGAUUCUAUCAAUAUAAAAACCUAAAACAACCGGAGUUCGGAGUAUCUGUAUCAUUCAAAUAUUAUAGUUCAUAUAGUCCAUCUAUUUAUUUAGAAUUGGAAAGAUUGCAUCAACGCAAUCUUUGCAAUUUAUAACUUUCUCUUCCAAUUUGCUACCGAUGGAUCUGGUAUUUCAUUUUGGAUCGUAUGCUGGUAAGUUCUGGCAGAAAUAUUUUAUUUCUGGCGUACAUACAUAUAAGUAAACAUAAUCUUCCUAAUAUAUGGAAUAAUAAUAAUCUGUCAGCAGCAUUACUGUUUAAGAGAUUUUACAACAUUUCUAGAUAUCAAGUCACUUGCUUAUCAAGUCACUGGGACUCUAUAGAGCUAUGGUCCAACUUCUAUAUAGACACGGCAAAUUUUUUCAUGCAAGUAAGUGAACUUGCUUUUUUCAACUGAAAUGAUUUUUUCCAAUUAGGAUCAAAAUGGAUCUUGAAGCGCUGGAGAUUGGCUAAAAGAAGACUGAAGUAUCUUAUCAUGUUUCUGAAUGCAUCCUCAAUAUCAAAUAUAUGAUAAUAAAUCAUAAAUAAUGAUAAAUCAUAAAUAAAAAAAUGUAAACAUAAUCAGGAUGAACAUGCUCAUCGAAUAAAACCAAGCCUUGGUCUUAUGUGGAAUCAUUUUCAACGGAUGAUGAGAACCAUAGAGAACAUAUCCAUCUUUAUAAGGCGAACAAUUCUUUUUUUUUCUUACUUUUGAUUGAUCAGUGUAUCAUAAAUAUGUUACGUCAGGCAUACAGGAUGAUCCGCAAUAUCGUAUGUGAUGUCCCUUUAUAUGAAUCCACAUUAUAAUGAAUUUAACAUUAACUCCUGUGAGACAUAUUCUAUGCAUAACAUACUAACUUAGAAAUUUUAUGUUUUAUGUAUUUUAUGUUUUAUAUAUUUUAUGUAUUUGUAUCAAAAGUAAUUUCCCAUUACUUGUUUCAUGUAGGUAGACACUUAAUGGUACUUUUUUUAUUGCUGUCUAGGAUAGGGAAUUAAAAAUAUUGAUAAUAUUCAAUAAUACUGCCAAUAUAACCUCAUAGAAGAGAGCUAGUCUAAGAAGAUUCUGACGUGUUUAAUCAUAGAGCGAUUUAUUUGUACUGAUUCUUAAUCAAAUCGGAAUCUUACUGGAACAGGCAAUUAAAAAGAUUCAGGACUCCUUAUUUAAAUAUAUCCUUAUUAAAAUAUAUGUCAAAUAAUUGAUACAGUUUUGACCUGAGAAAAUCUCAGUAUCUUGGUUGGAUCAAUACCUAAAUACGAUCAGUGAUGUCGAUGAAACUUUGUUUGUUAGCUGCAAAGCGUUUAAGAACUAACUAUUCUAGAAGAAUCCAUCGUUAAUUUUUAUGUAUAUGAUAGUAAAAUCUAGUUCAAUAGCUAUUCAAAAGGAUUAAUACCAAGAGGAAUAUCGAGAGAUCAUAUCUUAUAGCCUAGAUAUUCCUGGCACAAAUUUUAAUUCGAAAAUGCAUAUACUCCGUUCAUAACGAAAUGUAUCCAUUCUAUCCAUUUUCUUGUACGCUU